rnacentral:tRNA from 1 species
AGCGAAAUAAGCUAAAUCCAGGCUAUUGGGCUCAUGCCCCAAAAGUGCAUUCAUUGCUUUCGCCU